AAGCGCGCGUAGGCGGUUAUUUAAGUGAGGUGUGAAAUCCCUGGGCUCAACCUAGGAACUGCAUUUCAAACUGGAUAACUUGAGUAUGUCAGAGGGUAUUGGAAUUUCCCCGUGUAGCAGUGAAAUGCGUAGAUAUGGGAAGGAACAUCAGUGGCGAAGGCGAAUACCUGGGAUAAUACUGACGCUGAGGUGCGAAAGCGUGGGGAGCAAACGGGAUUAGAUACCCUGGUAG
rnacentral:rRNA from 1 species